AUGGCCUGUUGGUGUUUGAUUGAACUUGUAUUGCUCACCACAUCUCACCACAACAUGCUGAGACUGUUUGUGUUGCUUACAGCAGUGGUCUGCUGUAAUGCAUCCUGCAGAAAAGAAAUAAUGCCCACUCAAGAUACCACAGACAGCCCACAAGGUUGUCCUGGUUCUGAUGGAGAUCUCCAUGAACUUAACUCUGAAUGGGUGAACGGAUAUGAAAAAUGUGUCUGUGGGAAUUCUGGAAUCAUCUGUUGUUUAAGCCUUGAAGGUUAUGGCCCCUAUGGACACAGAUUUGGAGGUUAUGGGCCCUUUCAACAGUAA
ensembl:lncRNA